ensembl:lncRNA novel transcript, antisense to RRN3 and a novel protein similar to nuclear pore complex interacting protein
ACUUGGAGGACUUGUUCCAGCCAGCGCUAGUGCGUGAGUAUAAGGAGAGACGGGAAGGACCGGCUCCAUCCAGCCCUGAGGAUCCCGAAGAAAGGGUGGAAACACCCUGGAUGUGCUAAGCUGUGGCCGGGUACACUCAAGUGUUAAUUUUUUGGAGUCAAAGCCUCCCUCAGUCAAAUCGAAGAAACUGAAGCACUUGUGACUGACCCAGAUCUUCACGGAGGAAAGGGGAUUCGAACCCGGCUGACCCAGGAGCCUGGGCUCUAUACUCAGUGCAGCAGUCUCACAGACACCCAAGAUAACGUUAUCCUCACGGAAACGAGCUCGACGAAGUGACCUACCUCAGAGCCUCAAGGCUAUGGUGAUGCUGGCAUGAGAAACAACAGGAGAGUUACGAAGAGAUAAGAGGAUGCUGUGCCUCCCUGGGGGUCUUCAGUCACCCAUGGUCCUGGCAAGAGAGGAGGGCCAGGAGAGAGCUUCACCCACCUGCUGUCCUGCCCAUGUGACAUCCGCAGGUGCUGCCAUGGCCACGACUGUUGUUACACUCGAGCUGAGGAGGCCGGCUGCAGCCCCAAGACAGAGCGCUACUCCUGGCAGUGCGUCAAUCAGAGCGUCCUGUGCGGGCAGAAACAGCUGGGCUUAUAAACAGGCAUAGUCCUUUUGAAGGAUGUGGUUGAUCCUACAACAACACACUUUCCUAAGGAUGACAACAACUCACCCCACCCCUAGAAUGGCUGGUAUGAACCGAGUUUCCACACAGUCUAGCUGGCAAUGGGGUCAGGAGCCGUUUUGCUACUUCACAUCUUUUGGUCACUGGUAAAUAUUAAGUUUCCUCAGACUAGAAGGGAGAGAAAUGCACACACAUGAUCCACCAGCCCGUGUGGGAUUCCCUCUGCCCUUCUGGCAUCUGAAGGCUGAUUCAAAGAUCCCCCCUGCAACCUUCCCACAAAUGAACCAACUGAUUCUCACAAGCAAAGGGAGAAUGGACACCUCCCAUUGAGGGACAAAAAAAAAAUCACACUCUGGCCUGCUGGCAAGUCACCUGUCAUUUCCAGCUCAUCUUCAUAGUUCCAUAGUUAGUCCUAUUCUUUAGUAAAUAUAAAGACUAUUAAAAGCUUCUAUGAGGUGCACUAUGUGUGUCUCUGGGGUCAGUCUUGUGCUUGACACAGCGAAAGCUCAUUUUAGUUCAGUGUGAAAAACCAGACCUCACCAAUUCAUCACAACUAACUCCAUCGGAAGCAGAGGAUUGCUCCUCAUCUGACUCCUCCUGUGUGAGACCUGAUUCUCAGUCAGAGGCUGAUGCUGGAACUGAGACCAUCAGCCAUAGAGAGAUCCUUCCAGAAUAUGGUGUCAUUAACCCCGCAGUUCACUACUGCACUUUGCCAUGAUUCAGGACUGGAACUCUUGUCAUCGACUUUAAAGAUCCUGAAAAGGCAAUCUGAAUGCUGGGCGCAUCUAUUGAAUUAGAAAUGAUCGGAAUGGCUCCUAAGUCAGGGUGUCAUGUCCUGAAAAUAGGUGACAACUGCAAACCAUCCACCCUGGUGUUGACUGACUUUAACAAGGUUCAGUUCACAGAGAUUGAGGGCAGAAAAAGGAAAUGGCCUCAAAAGGGUAAGUUUGCUGUGUUGCCCUCACACCACUUGAUUCAUGGUCCUGAUCCUAAGGAUCUCACCUGAUACUUGGUUUUAUAGGAAGGAUGUAUAAAAUUCCCAGAACGCUAGGAAACAGGGACGAAAACACUUCAAAGAGAAAGUUAAUGAACUUGUUUCUGACCACAGGGCAUCCUUCAGCACAUGCUGUCUGGAGUGGCCUCAAACAAGGAGUGUGUGGUGAGGUGCUGACAAUGCAAUGGGAGCAGGGUCCUGUCCCCACGCUAAAGAAGCUCACAGUUUAAUGCAAAUGAGAAGCCAGUGAGGACAUCACUACUCCUGCUGUGCACUUGGGAACUAGAAACACAAAACCUGACUCUGGAGGGAAGCUAAGGAAGCAUUCUACUCUUGAGUUGACAUAAGUGCAUCUGAAGCUUCUGAUCUCCGAUGAGAACAAUGGGGGACACCAAACAGAAUAUAAAACCCAUGAUUGAAUACAUCAAAUUGCUCACAUGGCAGUAAACAGACAUGAGGUGAAGAUGGAGAAGAAGGAAACCCAGGACGAAAGUCAGCCUCGCAUUUGGAACCCAUUUCCCUGAGUUUCAUUGCUGAAUUCCAGAAGGAACUACUGAGAUGCAAAGAAGCACAGCAGCUUUUGCACACAUGCGUGGGGUUAGAUGGAAAACAAGUGGAUUGAGGGUCUGCCAAUGAAAGCGACCCAUACUGAAGUCCACUGGCUCUGGUUGAGACCCAGAAGAGUCAUGCAUCAGAAUAGAGGUGGACAGGAAAUACCCUGGCCUUUGUAGGGACUGAGCCUGCACCGACGACCUCAAUUGCAGCCUGUAUGGAGGACCCCUGACCAUCCCCCAGAAGUAGACUCCCAUCUCUUCUGCAGCAAGAUAACAUGCUACUAGGCCUCAAUUCAUUGCUAAAUAUUUUUUAACAAGUAUCUCACAUUUAACAAAAAAAGAUCAGUCAUAUGGGCAGCAAAAUACAAUGUAAUAUGACC